rnacentral:lncRNA from 1 species
CUGGGGAGCCAUGCUUCGUGUUCAGCGACAGGGAGGAGAGGGAUUCCCCUCGAUAACACUACCAUGAGUGACAAGACUUUUGGAUGUACUCUGUCACUCCUUAUGCAUACUCAGUACUAGGAGGCAUCUCCUCGCAGCUGCGUGUUCAGCUUUGACCACAGCCUGCGUGACUCCAACCUGGGACACUGGGAAGUUCUUCACUCUUGAGGCACUGCGGACAAAGGAAUGCUUCUGGUACCUGCUUCCUGGUCUGCUGUUCCUUUUACUGAAAUGUUUUUAA